AUGAGGCUACACUCCCUAAUGCCAUGAGGCUACACUCCAUAAUGCCAUGAGGCUACACUCCAUAAUGCCAUGAGGCUACACUCCAUAAGGCUACACUCCAUAAUGCCAUGAUGCUACACUCCCUAAUGCCAUGAGGCUACACUCCAUAAUGCCAUGAGGCUACACUCGAUAAUGCCAUGAGGCUACACUCCCUAAUGCCAUAAGGCUACACUCCAUAAUGCCAUGAGGCUACACUCCAUAAUGCCAUGAGGCUACACUCCAUGAGGCUACACUCCAUAAUGCCAUGAGGCUACACUCCCUAAUGCCAUGAGGCUACACUCCAUAAUGCCAUGAGGCUACACUCCAUAAUGCCAUGAGGCUACACUCCAUAAUGCCAUGAGGCU
ensembl:lncRNA